CAAGUCGAACGAAGGUAGCAAUACCUUAGUGGCAAACGGGUGAGUAAUGAAUAGGAAUCUACCUAGUAGUGGGGGACAACGUUUGGAAACGAACGCUAAUACCGCAUAUUACCACUUGUGGGAAAGUCGCAAGACGCUAUUAGAUGAGCCUAUUUCUGAUUAGCUAGUUGGUGGGGUAAAGGCCUACCAAGGUUAUGAUCAGUAGCUGGUCUGAGAGGAUGAUCAGCCACACCGGAACUGAGACACGGUCCGGACUUCUACGGGAGGCAGCAGUCGGGAAUAUUGGACAAUGGGCGAAAGCCUGAUCCAGCAAUGCCGCGUGAGUGAUGAAGGUCUUAGGAUUGUAAAGCUCUUUUGUCAGGGAAGAUAAUGACGGUACCUGAAGGAUAAGCACCGGCUAAUUUCGUGCCAGCAGCCGCGGUAAUACGAAAGGUGCUAGCGUUACUCGGAAUUACUGGGCGUAAAGAGCGUGUAGGCGGACUUGAAAGUUGGAAGUUAAAACCCGAAGCUUAACUUCGGAUCUGCUUCCAAAACUCCAAGUCUUGAGCGUGAUAGAGGACAGUGGAAUUUGUGGUGUAGGGGUAAAAUCCGUAGAUAUCACAAGGAACACCGAAGGCGAAGGCAGCUGUCUGGGUCAUUGCUGACGCUGAGACGCGAAAGCGUGGGGAGCAAACAGGAUUAGAUACCCUGGUAGUCCACGCCCUAAACUUUGAAUGUUAAUCGUCGGGAUUUAUCUCGGUGGUCAAGCUAACGCGCUAAACAUUCCGCCUGGGUAGUACGGCCGCAAGGCUAAAACUCAAAGGAAUUGACGG
rnacentral:rRNA from 1 species